rnacentral:misc_RNA from 1 species
AAUCAUCAACCUACAAGCUUUGCGGUUUGUAGGCUUGGACUUGGAGGCUUGUCGGCUUAUAAGUCGGCUCCUCUUAAAUGCAUUAGCUUGAUUCCUUGUGGAUCGGUUCUCGGUGUGAUAAUUGUCUACGCCGCGAUCGUGAAGCGUUUGGCGAGCUUCUAAUCGUCUCGCAUAUGAGACAACACUUUGAC